rnacentral:rRNA from 1 species
UGGGGAAUUUUGCACAAUGGGGGAAACCCUGAUGCAGCGACGCCGCGUGAUUUAGAAGGCCUUCGGGUUGUAAAAAUCUUUUCUAUGGGAAGAAAAUGACAGUACCAUAGGAAUAAGGACCGGCUAAUUACGUGCCAGCAGCCGCGGUAAUACGUACGGUCCGAGCGUUGUCCGGAAUCAUUGGGCGUGAAGGGUACGUAGGCGGGUAAGCAAGUUGGAAGUGAAGUCCUAUAGCUCAACUAUAGUAAGCUUUUAAAACUGCUCAUCAUGAUGGAUGGAAGGGAAAGUGGACUUCCUAGUGUAGCGGUGAAAUGCGCAGAUAUUAGGAGGAAUACCGGUGGCGAAGGAGACUUUCUGGCCAGAACCUGACGCUGAGGUACGAAAGCGUGGGUAGCAAACAGG